rnacentral:rRNA from 1 species
UACACUCCUGCGGGAGGCAGCAGUGGGGAAUAUUGCACAAUGGGCGCAAGCCUGAUGCAGCCAUGCCGCGUGUAUGAAGAAGGCCUUCGGGUUGUAAAGUACUUUCAGCGGGGAGGAAGGUGUUGAGGUUAAUAACCUCAGCAAUUGACGUUACCCGCAGAAGAAGCACCGGCUAACUCCGUGCCAGCAGCCGCGGUAAUACGGAGGGUGCAAGCGUUAAUCGGAAUUACUGGGCGUAAAGCGCACGCAGGCGGUCUGUCAAGUCGGAUGUGAAAUCCCCGGGCUCAACCUGGGAACUGCAUGCGAAACUGGCAGGCUAGAGUCUUGUAGAGGGGGGUAGAAUUCCAGGUGUAGCGGUGAAAUGCGUAGAGAUCUGGAGGAAUACCGGUGGCGAAGGCGGCCCCCUGGACAAAGACUGACGCUCAGGUGCGAAAGCGUGGGGAGCAAACAGGAUUAGAAACCCCAGUAGUCCCAUGA